rnacentral:rRNA from 1 species
UACGUAGGGGGCUAGCGUUGUCCGGAAUCAUUGGGCGUAAAGCGCGUGUAGGCGGCUUGGUAAGUCCGUUCUGAAAGCCCGGGGCUCAACCCCGGGAGGCGGAUGGAUACUGUCAAGCUCGAGUCCGGAAGAGGCAAGUGGAAUUCCCGGUGUAGCGGUGAAAUGCGCAGGAUAAUCGGGAGGAACACCAAUGGCGAAGGCAGCUUGCUGGGACGGUACUGACGCUGAGACGCGAAAGCGUGGGAGCAACAGG